UGUGAAAGGGUCAUUUGACCUCCAAAGGAGU
rnacentral:piRNA from 1 species